GCAGCACACGCGGGAGAGACCAGCCGGGUAUUCCCGACUGGCGCCGAAGGCGCAACCGCCCCGGAAACGCUCAGGCAACCGGACCGCGCGUGUUAU
rnacentral:ncRNA from 2 species